GACGAACGCUGGCGGCGUGCUUAACACAUGCAAGUCGAACGGUGAAAGCGGAGCUUGCUCCGCUGGAUCAGUGGCGAACGGGUGAGUAACACGUGGGCAACCUGCCCCUCACUUCGGGAUAACUCCGGGAAACCGGGGCUAAUACCGGAUAUGACCUCCUUGGGCAUCCUUGGAGGUGGAAAGUUUUUCGGUGAGGGAUGGGCCCGCGGCCUAUCAGCUUGUUGGUGAGGUAGUGGCUCACCAAGGCGACGACGGGUAGCCGGCCUGAGAGGGCGACCGGCCACACUGGGACUGAGACACGGCCCAGACUCCUACGGGAGGCAGCAGUGGGGAAUAUUGCGCAAUGGGCGAAAGCCUGACGCAGCAACGCCGCGUGCGGGAUGACGGCCUUCGGGUUGUAAACCGCUUUCAGCAGGGAAGAAGCCGCAAGGUGACGGUACCUGCAGAAGAAGCACCGGCUAACUACGUGCCAGCAGCCGCGGUAAUAC
rnacentral:rRNA from 1 species